GAUGAACGCUGACAGAAUGCUUAACACUUGCAAGUCUUUGGCGAAUCUGUGCUUGCACAGGCUAGCCAAGGCGGACGGGUGAGUAACGCGUAAAGAACUUGCCCUGCAGACAGGGAUAACAGACGGAAACGACUGAUAACACCUGAUACAGUUGCCGGCACGCAUGUGCCUGGCAAUGAAAAGAGAUGCUGCAGGAGAGCUUUGCGUCCUAUUAGCUUGUUGGUGAGGUGACGGCUCACCAAGGCGAUGAUAGGUAGCCGGCCUGAGAGGGUGAACGGCCACAAGGGGACUGAGAUACGGCCCUUACUCCUACGGGAGGCAGCAGUGGGGAAUAUUGGACAAUGGGGGCAACCCUGAUCCAGCAAUUCUGUGUGCACGAAGAAGGUUUUCGGAUUGUAAAGUGCUUUCAGCAGGGAAGAAGAAAGUGACGGUACCUGCAGAAGAAGCGACGGCUAAAUACGUG
rnacentral:rRNA from 1 species